UUAAAUUGAGAGUUUGAUCCUGGCUCAGGAUGAACGCUGGCGGCGUGCCUAAUACAUGCAAGUCGAACGAAACUUCUUUAUCACCGAGUGCUUGCACUCACCGAUAAAGAGUUGAGUGGCGAACGGGUGAGUAACACGUGGGCAACCUGCCCAAAAGAGGGGGAUAACACUUGGAAACAGGUGCUAAUACCGCAUAACCAUAGUUACCGCAUGGUAACUAUGUAAAAGGUGGCUAUGCUACCGCUUUUGGAUGGGCCCGCGGCGCAUUAGCUAGUUGGUGGGGUAAAGGCUUACCAAGGCAAUGAUGCGUAGCCGAACUGAGAGGUUGAUCGGCCACAUUGGGACUGAGACACGGCCCAAACUCCUACGGGAGGCAGCAGUAGGGAAUCUUCCACAAUGGGCGAAAGCCUGAUGGAGCAACGCCGCGUGGGUGAAGAAGGUCUUCGGAUCGUAAAACCCUGUUGUUAGAGAAGAAAGUGCGUGAGAGUAACUGUUCACGUUUCGACGGUAUCUAACCAGAAAGCCACGGCUAACUACGUGCCAGCAGCCGCGGUAAUACGUAGGUGGCAAGCGUUAUCCGGAUUUAUUGGGCGUAAAGGGAACGCAGGCGGUCUUUUAAGUCUGAUGUGAAAGCCUUCGGCUUAACCGGAGUAGUGCAUUGGAAACUGGGAGACUUGAGUGCAGAAGAGGAGAGUGGAACUCCAUGUGUAGCGGUGAAAUGCGUAGAUAUAUGGAAGAACACCAGUGGCGAAAGCGGCUCUCUGGUCUGUAACUGACGCUGAGGUUCGAAAGCGUGGGUAGCAAACAGGAUUAGAUACCCUGGUAGUCCACGCCGUAAACGAUGAAUGCUAAGUGUUGGAGGGUUUCCGCCCUUCAGUGCUGCAGCUAACGCAAUAAGCAUUCCGCCUGGGGAGUACGACCGCAAGGUUGAAACUCAAAGGAAUUGACGGGGGCCCGCACAAGCGGUGGAGCAUGUGG
rnacentral:rRNA from 1 species